AAAACUGUGUUGCUAUGAGCGGAGAGGUUUCACAAACAAAUUGUGCAUGUCGCAAAACACAAAUUUGAUCGUCCCAGUCCCGUGUUUGCAGUAAAUGAGGAAUUGCCUCAGCGGCUGCAGGGCUGAGUGAGCGCCGCCAUCUUUAUUCGGGACAACGAUUCACUGGACACGUGCGCGGCCGCCAUCUUUGUAGGGGGCAUGGUGCAGCCAGGCGCAUGUGCAGCCUUUCUCUGGUACAGAGUCAUUGUGAUGACAGCAGCCAAUCCUGCUCUGAUUCACCUCUGGGCUCCCUCAGGACCACUUUGUCAAUGUCUAGCUUCCUCAGUCUCCAACCAUGGGGAUACCAGUGAUUAAUACCAAAACCCUGUUGCCUGUGGAAAGGGUGAUGUUUGACUUUAUUAUACAGCUGCAGUUUGUGUGGUGAAGGUGCUCCCACAAUGUGGUUGGGAUCUGCUGCUGCAAACACCACCUCUGGAUUUCGCUGUGCAUACCAUUAAGCCUGGCCAUUGGGUUUUAAUCAAGCACUGGCAGCAGCGCACUCUCGAACCUGUGUGGGACGGUCCGUACCUGGUGUUGCUUACUACUGAAACCGCUAUCCGCACGGCAGAGAAAGGGUGGACUCACAACACGCGAGUCAAAGGUCCGGUUCGCUGCCCAGAUGAGAAAAAGAUCUGGACUGUCGAACCAGUGCGGGAUCCACUUAAACUCAAACUGAAGAAAAUUUGAACUGACUGUAUUGUGGGGACGUGAGUGCAAGGACUAUUUCUUCAGAAUUAUCCCAGUGAUUAAUGCCAAAGCCCUGUUGCCUGUGGAGAGGGUGAUGUUUGACUUCCUUGUACAGCUGCAGUUUGUGUGGUGAAGGUGCUCCCACAAUGUCGCUGGGUGGACAUUCAGAUGGUAACCUCAGUAUUUGUAACACCAAACUCUGACAGAAUUACUCAAUUCAUCAGGACCUGGAUAUUUGCAUUUAGUUCGAAUCCCCCUUACCUGCAACACUUUGGACUGAGAGAGGAAACCAGAGCAUCCAGAGGAAGGCCACCGCAGACACACACUUGGAGAAUGGUACUGAAAGGGUGGAUUUGUGGAUGAGAAAUUCAAAUUGAGCUUUCUGUUCAGACCCGAUGGUUACUGGAUCCGUGCCGAUCUGAAUAUCAUUGGCCUUCUCAUCUGGAAGGAAAGGGUGCUGGAUGGUGAAGAUUUACAGACUGAAAUCUCAAACUCGUGCAGAUUGUGAUUAAGUUAACCAGUGUUUGAAGAACCAAGGAUAGAGAAUCACUCAGCCAAAAUCCUGCACACUCUCCCUCGCAGCAUUGUCGGUCUCUCUGCGCCACAUAGGCUGUGAAUGGUUCAAGACAGCAGCUCACUACCAUCUUCUCAAGGGUAACUGGAGAUGGGGAAUAAAUGCUGGC